rnacentral:lncRNA from 1 species
AGGGCCUUGUCUUCCUUUAAUGCCAUAAUCAGCUGGGGCUGCCUGCCAGAGGCAGGGACUUAGUCCUCCCUAGGCUCUGCUCCUUGGCCUCUCUCCUUGACAGUUCCCACCUGCCCCUGCUGUCAUUGUGGUUUCCAGCCCCUGCCCCAUGGGAAUAAGUCUCAGCCUCUAGAUUUCUGCAGCAUCACAUUCAGUUUGCAUCCUCCACUUAAAGUUCAAGAUCUGGAUGGACAAAACUCCUGAUGUUAACCUAGCCCAGAGGACCAUUUACUCCUUGGUUGAGCGACUCUGAAGAUAAUAAGCCUGGCGGUGUGGGCAGCUGUCUCUCCCUCAGGGUGGAAGAUUGGGCCUGAGAACAGAGCCAACGCAGAAGAAAGCAAAGUCAAGAGAUGGGGAGAAGGAAGCCACCUCCUGAUGGCAUUCUCUGAGUUCCUGGGUAGCUCACCUGAAGAUAAGUCUACCGUUGAACUUUUUCUGCGUUACAUUUACCGGGAGUUUUUUGCUCUGUUCUGGAUACAGAAAGAUACCUGAAUAAUACAGAGGGAAACUAAUAAUGCUUUCCUUUUGUUUGAGUGUGGAAGAGGGCACCUAAUGGGAUGAACAUACAUCUAUAGGAUAACAUACUUAGAAAGGGCAGAUGGCCUUGCAUUUAAGUAACAACCUGGAGAGAAAAGCUACCUCAGCUUGGCACAGUUCCCAACAUCAUCAGGAUGGAGAAGGUGAAAAGCAAAAGGCCUAGACUACCUCCCUCAUUAAACCGUGAUUAAAUAAAGGGUGCUGGGUGGGGAAAGGAAAGAGGCAUGGAGUUUGGGAGUGUUCCAGAUAGAUUUCUGGUCCUUGACAAACAUCCUUUAGGCUUAGAUGCCUGCGCCCAUAACCAACUUCCAUAACUAUAUGUGCAGUUGUGGCAGUCUCUUUCUGAGGAAGGGAAUAACCCCAAACUCUUGUCCUCUAGCUGCUCAAUAGGUGACAAUAAAAUUGGCAAAUGAUUAGCAAUUAGUUAUGUAAAUGUAAACCACUCCAAGAAAAUUCCCGCCUGUUCAGACUCAAGGGUGUAAAUGAAAAGCAAGAUACCACAAUGACUUUCCCAUUGUACCCAGGUCUCCUCUUCCUUCCAGCCACAGAAACAGGCAGCUGUUACCAGUUCCUCAUGUCCGUCUGGGUCUCUGUUCAUCUAAGUGACUGGAGGUGGGCCUGGCUCUAGAGUUGCUUUGGGAGAGAGGUCUGGAGAGCCUGAGUUUUAUGAGAUUGUAAUCUCAUCCUAUGGAAUACUGAUUUUACAUGAUGUUUAUUUGAAUGGCGAACAGAUGAGUCCACUGCCUACGAACAUGGAAACUUGUCUUUUAAGGAGCAGUGCAAGACAGACAGACCUGCCUGGGGUUUUCUUCUCUGCUUUUGAAAGUGUGAUGCCAGUGUGUUACUCCAGAAGGCAAGAGAGCAUGAGUUAUUCUGAGUCCAUUAUCUGCAGAGAACGCCCACUCUGAGGGAGGUGUGUCAGCCUCCCAUAGCAGCAAUAUUUUAAAAAUGAUUUUCAUGUGGACAGCACUUCAAUUAUGUAACAGGCUAAAUAGGGCUGAACGGCUACUAGCCUGGCAACCUGCUCACUGGACAGAGCAUCUUUUUUGUGAAAAAUGCACUCCAAGUUCCAGGACACUUGGUUUAUAUGCAGACUGCAGAAACACAACUCGUUUGAGGUUGAGGACUGACUGCAUGAGGGUGGGGCCUGGGCUGGUUCAUCUGUGUCUUCUCAUCUAGUUCUUUUGAAGUGGAAGCCAGAAAUGAAGACAGCAGGACGAGGAUCCAGAUCUGGGGGCCAGGGUGCAGCCAGGCUGUGUGGACUAGCUCUAAAUCCAGUCCACAAAAGCUGCCCCAGUGAGUUAUGUGACUGGAAACUGGAGUUAUGUCUUCUUCC